rnacentral:rRNA from 1 species
CCUAGGGGGGCUGCAGUGGGGAAUAUUGGACAAUGGGCGAAAGCCUGAUCCAGCCAUACCGCGUGUGUGAAGAAGGCCUUCGGGUUGUAAAGCACUUUCAGUGGGGAAGAAAGCCUUGGGGCUAAUACCCUCGAGGAAGGACAUCACCCACAGAAGAAGCACCGGCUAACUCCGUGCCAGCAGCCGCGGUAAUACGGAGGGUGCGAGCGUUAAUCGGAAUUACUGGGCGUAAAGCGCGCGUAGGCGGUCUGAUAAGCCGGUUGUGAAAGCCCCGGGCUCAACCUGGGAACGGCAUCCGGAACUGUCAGGCUAGAGUGCAGGAGAGGAAGGUAGAAUUCCCGGUGUAGCGGUGAAAUGCGUAGAGAUCGGGAGGAAUACCAGUGGCGAAGGCGGCCUUCUGGACUGACACUGACGCUGAGGUGCGAAAGCGUGGGUAGCAAACAGGAUUAGAUACCCCAGUAGUC